rnacentral:rRNA from 1 species
GAUGAACGCUGGCGGCGUGCCUAAUACAUGCAAGUCGAGCGAACAGACGAGGAGCUUGCUCCUCUCACGUUAGCGGCGGACGGGUGAGUAACACGUGUAUAACCUACCUAUAAGACUGGGAUAACUUCGGGAAACCGGAUCUAAUACCGUAUAAGAUAUUGCACCGCAUGGUUCAAUAGUGAGAGACGGUUUUGCUGGCACUUAUAGAUGGAUCCGCGCCGCAUUAGCUAGUUGGUAAGGUAACGGCUUACCAAGGCUACGAUGCGUAGCCGACCUGAGAGAGUGAUCGGCCACACUGGAACUUGGACACGGUCCAGACUACUACGGGAGGGCGCAGUCGCGAAUCUUCCGCAGUGGGCGAGAGCCUGACGGAGCAACGCCGCGUGAGUGAUGGAGGUCUUCCGAUCGUGAUACUCUGUUAUGAGGGGAGAACAACUGUGUAAGUAACUGUGCACGUCUUGACGGUAACGGAUCAGAAAGCCCCGGCUAACUACGUG